GUGAACUUUCAGCAUUUCGAAAAGGUCCUAUCGCUUUUAUCGAGCGAAGACUGAACCAACAGUAGCUCUAGUGAAAAGUUGGCUAAUUCCCCAUCAAAAAGGUUGCAGGGAGGACUGAAAAGAGGGCUGCGCGUCACGAAGAUGCUCGACCAUUAGGUAUAGGAAAUGUUUUCAGUAGACAAAGAAGUUCUUUGGACCGAAGAGAGGAGUGAGAAAUGAGACACUCGCCCUAA
rnacentral:misc_RNA from 1 species